rnacentral:ncRNA from 2 species
GGAAGCCGGUUCGAUGCCGGCGCGGCCCCGCCACUGUAUCGGGCACGACACGCACGCUCUGUACGCCACUGGCCUAACGGCUGGGAAGGCGAGCGACGCGGCCCGGAGCCAGGAGAC